UGCAAUAUUUUGACUCUUCGUCUUAUUUAAAAUUUUAUUGUGAUUAACAUUUUUAUUCUUACUAGAUGAUAAAACAUGAAUAGUACUUUAUGCGUGACUAAUUUUUUUAAGUUUAUUUAAAUUUUUUUCAAAUAAGACGAAUGAUCAAACGUUGGACAUGGAAA
rnacentral:pre_miRNA from 1 species